rnacentral:tRNA from 1 species
CACUGUAUAGCUACUAUAGCAUUAACCUUUUAAGUUAAAGAUGAGAAUAAUACUUUUCUCUGCAGUGA